CCUACGUGAGGCAGCAGUGAGGAAUAUUGGUCAAUGGGCGUAAGCCUGAACCAGCCAAGUCGCGUGAGGGAUGAAGGUUCUAUGGAUCGUAAACCUCUUUUAUAAGGGAAUAAAGUGUGGGACGUGUCCUAUUUUGUAUGUACCUUAUGAAUAAGGAUCGGCUAACUCCGUGCCAGCAGCCGCGGUAAUACGGAGGAUCCGAGCGUUAUCCGGAUUUAUUGGGCGUAAAGCGCUCGUAGGCGGUAUGUCAAGUCAAGGGUGAAAUCCCCGCGCUCAACGUGGGAACUGCCUUUGAAACUGGCAAACUGGAGUGUGUGAGAGGAUAGUGGAAUUCCAGGUGUAGGAGUGAAAUCCGUAGAUAUCUGGAGGAACAUCAGUGGCGAAGGCGACUAUCUGGCACAUAACUGACGCUGAGGAGCGAAAGCGUGGGUAGCAAACAGGAGUAGAUACCCGAGUAGUC
rnacentral:rRNA from 1 species